UCUGUGCACUAUUUACCGAGUACUUCACCGGCCCCAAAUUUUCCUAGCUCCUACAAAGGAGAAGAAAGAGCAUCAUUAAAAUUGAAAUGCUGUUGGCGUUUUCACCAAGGAGAGGUAACUAUAAUUCAGCUUCAAAAUGAAGAGGUUUGUGGAGGGAGUCAGAGCUUUUUUAUCCACAAAAUUUGGGAAGGAACAAGGCCAGCCUGAUCUGGAAGACACGACCCAUUAUUAUUCAAGUACAGAAAUACAGCGCUGCUGCGGAACCCACCGCCUUGGAGAUGUCUUUGAGGAGUCGGAUUCGGAUGUAGUUAUUGGACGUGAAGAUGAAGUAAAAGAGCUUGUAUCUCGACUGCUCGAUGACAAUGACGAAAGUCUCCGUGUGAUUUCAUUAAUCGGCGAUGAAGCACUUGGCAAGACCGCUUUGGCAAGGAAUGUCUUUAACAGACUAGAUAUUCGGCAGCAUUUCCCAAGGCGAGCCUGGAUCCAUGUUUCCGGAGAUCUUGAAUAUAAAGCUCUCUUGCUCAUCAUAUUAAAACAGCUUCCAAUAUGUAGCUUGAAGAACUCAGAGCUUAUGAGCGAGGAAGAAAUACGUGAUAGGCUUUUCUUAAUUUUAGCGGAGCACAGGUUUCUGAUAGUGUUGGAUGAUCUCUGCACAGUAGAUGUUUGGCUCAAGCUUGUCCGUGCCUUUGCAGAUGCCUUUAACGGAAGUAGAGUCAUUCUCACUACUCGAGACUUAAAUGUUGCAAAGCAAAUUGACCCGUGGGGUUUUCCACUUGAGCUAAGCCCAUUAACUGAGGAGAGGAGUUGGUCAUUGUUCUUGAAGAAGGUAGGCAGACCAGAAUAUCGUAAAGAACUAAACAACCUCAGGGGAGAUAUUUGGAGAAUAUGUGACGGUUUGCCUCUAGCAAUCGUUCUACUGGGAGGGGUUUUGUCAGCUCUAGAAUUUAAGGACUGGUCAAGGGUGAUUGGGCUUGCUGAACAACGAAGAGGAAGCCAAUCCCCUCUUGAAAAUAUCGUUGAUUUUGGCUAUGAUCAACUUCCAGAUUUUUUAAAGCCCUGUUUCCUAUAUCUGGCUCUCUUUCCUAAAGCCUAUGAAAUCCCCAUACGGAGGCUGUUGCAGUUGUGGCUUGCCGAGGGAUUUGUUCAUCAAUUCAUACCUCAUGAGAGAAUUCCUGAAGAUGAGGCAAAAAGAUAUUUGGAAGAGCUAGUGUGUAGAAACAUGAUUGAAAUAGCAAAAUGGAAAUCAGAUGGAAGCCCCAAAACGUGUCGAAUGCCAACUUAUCUCUAUAAUGAUUUCUUGCCAAAAGCCAAUGAUAAAGGAUUUCUUCAUGUCCACCAUUGCAAGAAAGAUUUUACAUCUGCAGAUUCACCUGAGUCUUAUAUUCCAAGGCUUGCAGAUCAAUUUGGCAGCAUAUCUACUUCAGAAUCUCAUAUUCAAUGUCCAUCUUCCUACCUUUCUUUCGACCCUAGAAAAGGAUACAAAUCCAACAAAGAUAUUGGUAAGUUUCUCAACACAAUAAUCAUUACAAGUUUUGUCACGUUGAAGGUGCUUGACCUAGAGGGUGUCUACAAACCUUUGCUACCUAAGAAACUCGGUAAGUUUCAGAAUUUAAGGUACCUAGGCUUACGAUGGACUGGCCUUGACACAUGUCCAGAGUCUGUUGGGGAUCUACCAUGUUUGGAGACUUUAGAUUUGAAAUGUACAAAUGUAACCAGUUUGCCAAGUUCCAUUUGGAAGGCAAAGAAGCUCAGACAUCUCUAUAUGGAAGAGAUGUCCAUUGAGAAGCCACCAAAAAAGUCUUCACCUAACCUUCUGACAUUAAUGGAGCUCCAUAUUGGUGCUAAUUGCCCCUAUAGAUAUGGACUGAACAAGUUCACUAGCCUUAGGAAAUUGGGGCUGACAUGCGAUUCACAAUCAGCGAAGCAAACAGCCGAGUGCAUCUCAAACCUUGGCAACCUUCAAACCUUAAGGUUGAAAGCAAGAGACCCGUUUGGUCAACCUGUAGAGCUCGUGCUGGCGCCUAUGAAGGAACAUCAGUCUCUCUCAAACUUAUAUUUAUUUGGAGAGAUAAAGAUGAAUGACAUGGAGAACUUUCCACGAAACCUCAGAACUCUUACACUGUCGAUGUCAGGACUAGAAAUAGAUCCAAUGCCGAAGCUAGGGAUGCUGCCUCAGCUGAACACCCUCAGGCUUUUUGCUCGCUCUUAUGUAGGGUGGAAAAUGACUUGUCCUUCUGCCCACUUUCCUAAGCUUCGUGUCUUGAAAAUGUGGAAUCUAGAGCGACUAGAGCAGUGGGAGGUGGAGGAAGGUGCAAUGCCCGAACUUGUAGAGUUGGAAAUUAGAUGUUGCGAAAAACUUAAAAAGUUAGUUAAAUUAGAGGAGCUGGAUUCCUUGAAGGAGUUGAUUUUAACAAACAUGCCGCAGAAAUUUGUAGAAGAUAUUAGAACAAGGAUGGGCACAGGCAUAUUACUCACGAACAAGUGGGAAUUUUCUGAUUUACAUGUUAAGUAUGAUACAUAUACAAGUAAAGAAGAAACAGGAAUGGAAGACACUGGAUCAUAAGGCAAAAUGAUUCAGGUGUUCAACUAGGAUUAAAGCUUAUGGAGGCUGGAUUCCAGCGCUGGAGUACUCUUGGACAUGAUGGAGUCUCUGGAGUGCAAGAACACGACCGUCACUCAAACCUUUAACCUGCUAUUGUUGAUGGAUGGUUGCUAAUUAAAAUGCGCUUCCUGAGACUCUCAGAGUGAUCGACCUGGAUUUUCCUGAGAUUGUUUCUGAAAUUACUAGAAUGAGCGGUGGAAGUCAUUUGGGUCUUGUGCACCAAACUUACAAAUGUUUUCAAUUUGGAUUGUAAGUUUGCAAUUUGGAUCCUUAGCCAAGUAGCUGCCUCUUUGGGACAUAAGCGGAAUUUGAGUGUUUUUGAACAAGUACAUACUGAAAGGAGAAAUAGAUUGGAGCAUCAACAACUUAAUGAUCUUGUGUAUGUUCAUUAUAACUGCUAGCUUAAAGAUAGGCAUAUAGAUCUUAUUCAAUUAUUCAAAUACUACUCUUGCUUUCUUUUAUUUUAAUAUGUGGUUGGUUACUAAUUAUUCAAAUGUUCAUCUUAUGGUAUAGCGACAAAAAUACGUUCAAUUUUGGUCCUAUUGAUUAUGUGAGUAUUGAUAGAACAUAAUUUUGAGUAGUGGAAGAAGAGGAACCUCCACUUCUUGAUUAUGAGAAGUUAGAGAAUGCAUUAUACAAGGAGAGAGUUUAUCCAAUUGAAGAAGUGUCUAGCCAUGCACAAGGAGAUUAGUAUAUAUUAAAUUUUGUGAAUUCUUUGCCUAGUUACAUAUUUUUAAUAGAUUGUUAUGAUUUAUGAGAAAUGAUUAUUAGAAU